UACGAAGGGGGCUAGCGUUGCUCGGAAUUACUGGGCGUAAAGCGCACGUAGGCGGAUCGUUAAGUCGGAGGUGAAAUCCUGGAGCUCAACUCCAGAACUGCCUUCGAUACUGGCGAUCUCGAGUCCGGGAGAGGUGAGUGGAACUCCGAGUGUAAAGGUGAAAUUCGUAGAUAUUCGGAAGAACACCAGUGGCGAAGGCGGCUCACUGGCCCGGUACUGACGCUGAGGUGCGAAAGCGUGGGGAGCAAACAGG
rnacentral:rRNA from 1 species